GUACUGAUGAAGAGUCUCAAACCAGGCAGACGAAACACCUGUCCAGUAC
rnacentral:hammerhead_ribozyme from 1 species